AGUGCUGGCUGGAUAGGCAUGGGUCUCAGGUCCUCUGAUGUUACCCAGGCAGGGGUGACACACACCAUUCCCCACAGCCAGAGGGCCAUGAGGACAUCAUCGCUGACAAUCAAGACAUCUUGUUCCUGCUGCCAGCUGCCCUUUCCCUCUCUCAGACACACACAUGCUGCACACUCACACCCCCACAUACACACUCAUAGCCCCCACUCUAACCCCACCCCACACACUCAUGCCCUCACUCACAGCCCCCACACACACUCAUACCCCCCACUCAUAGCUCCCACAUACACACUCAUACCCCCCACUCAUAGCUCCCACAUACACACUCAUACCCCCCACUCACAGCCCUCAGCUCCCCCCAGCAUCCCCUGUCUUAUUCAGGCACUCAAGGGCACACAGGUGCCCACUUGCUGGAAUCCCCCCUCCCUGCCAACCCUCUGAGCCCCCCCCCAACCGGCUCUCCCGGGGAGCCCUCUCCCAGCCUCAGAGCCAGUCUGUCUCCUCCUUCCUUCCGCCCCUGGGGGGGAAUGUCUUUCUGGCAAAAAAACUCCCCAAAAAUGGCUCUCCUGGCAUUUCUAAUUAAAGUGCCAGCCAGGCUGCCAGCAACCCCAGCUCACUUCCGGAGCCAUAAAAGGAGAGACGCUGAGAAUAGCGCGGCUGUGACGCGCCCAGGAGCUCCUCACGCAUGCAGACUCUGCACCACCCGCCCGCCCGCCUGCUCUCUGAGGUGCUGGCCUGAAGGGCCCCCCGCCCAGCCCCAGCCCUACCAGGAUUGGACAACCUGGGACCCCGGCUGGGAGGUCAGGAGCCAGGGGUCAUGCAGCCCUGCCUUGGCUCCCGUAUGACACCGCAGGCUGCUGUGCUCCUGGGAUUUGGCAUCACCAUCCCCUGCUCCCAGGCCCUGGGCCUCACGAGGGCACAGCACCACGGGAGGGGCAGGCAGCAGAGGGCGGCGGGAGGCACCCCUGUCCCAAGAGGUCCCGGCCCUGCCUAGUGGCCCUUUAGGCUCCCACAAAUUCCCAGGGACCCUUCCUGAGGCAGAGGGAGUUGGCUCUGCACUGGACAUGGCUCGGGGCUCACAGAUGGGGACAGUCAUUGCCUACUGAGCGCCAGCAGGUGCUGGGAGUUGGGUCAGCUUCUCUCCAAGGUCUUGCCUUCCCUAGGAGAUGAGGGAGAUGCUGAGACCCAGAGGGCAGAGCCUCCUCCUCGCCAGGUCCCAGCACCACAUCCCCAGACACCAUGGGUGCCCGCAUCUGCCCUGAGCACCCCCAGCUCACUCAUGAGGCUCAGCAGUGGGGAGUGUGAUGGGACACAGGGCUGGCGGCUUGGGUGGUCACGCUGGUCCCUGAGCUCAGAGGAGCCGUGCCGGGUUUAGCACUGUGCGAUUUUGAUUCAUUUUUGGACAAAGGGCCUCUGUUUUCAUUUUGUGCUGGGCCCCAGCCAUUAUGCCACUGGUCCCUCCUACCAGGGUCUCCUUCCUGGUCCUAGGGUGGGGGUGGGGAGCCCACUGUGCUGUGUGUUUCUGGAAAAGCAGGUGGCAGCAGAGGUCCUGUGGUGAGACAAGGAGGGCCCUGCUGUGUGCCGGGCACCUUGCUGAGUCUCAGAACAGCCGGGAGGGUGAUCAGUGUCACCCCACUUUACAGAUGAGGAAACUGAGGCACAGAGAAGGCAAGGGGUAUGCCGGGGAACCCGGGCCAUAGUGAAUGACCGAGCUGCGAUUUG
rnacentral:lncRNA from 1 species